UGCGAGGGUAGGCAAGCCUGGCCAAAACCGGCGGACUUAAGAUCCGUUCUCGAAGGAGUCCGUGGGUUCGAAUCCCACCCCUCGCAU
rnacentral:tRNA from 1 species